CAGAGGGUGCGAGCGUUAAUCGGAUUUACUGGGCGUAAAGCGUGCGUAGGCGGCUUUUUAAGUCGGAUGUGAAAUCCCCGAGCUUAACUUGGGAAUUGCAUUCGAUACUGGGAAGCUAGAGUAUGGGAGAGGAUGGUAGAAUUCCAGGUGUAGCGGUGAAAUGCGUAGAGAUCUGGAGGAAUACCGAUGGCGAAGGCAGCCAUCUGGCCUAAUACUGAACGCUGAGGUACGAAAGCAUCGGGAGCAAACAGGAUU
rnacentral:rRNA from 1 species